CCGUCCUGAUACUUUGCAGUCACGUGACUACCACGUGACUACCACUCAGAUAACUUCCUUUUGGCAUCACCCCUUCACAUUUCAUUGUGUGAGUACUUUCUCAGUAAUGACAAAGCUGUCUCAUGUUAAAUAUGUCUCACAUGUGUCUCUCAUUACAGUACGCCUGGUAUUUUGCCACAGAGGCUACUUUUGACUUCAGUAUUCAUGACAUGUCUUUCCUGAGACGGUGGUGGUGUGUUGUCCUGGUGGAAGACCUUGGGCUGGAAGGGUAUGCUGCGGUGCUACAAACAUAAUAGGUAUGGGAGGAAGUUCGCCCACUUUACGGAGGAAGGAAAAUCAACCCUCCGAGACAAUGUCCCACCUGUCUUCAGGAUUGCACGAAAAAGGAGACUUUCAAGUACUUCAUGUGUCUUUAUGGCUCCUGCAGUAGGUUUAGUUUGGUACUGUGUCAUUCUGAAUCCAACCCGGAUCGUGGUAAACCUUUGCAUAUUAAACAUAAUGGCGCAAUAAUGAUGUUUGGUUUACAGAUGCCAUUGGACUCUGACAAGGACCAUGCUUAUAAUAAGAGGCCUUACAGCUUUCCUUCUAAGGAGAUGGUUAGUAUAAAGUUAAUUGCAUACAAAGACAAUGUCCACCAUCAGAGCUGUAUUUAUGUGAAUUUGGGUAUCCAUUUAGGGCAGUGGAGUUACCAUGGACAAAGAUGUCUUCAGCUUCAAAGAAGACACGUCUCUCAGGUGAGAACAUGAUGCUACUGCAUGUAAAGUCUCUGGUGCAAUCUGCUGUCUUCACCUUUAGCCAAUAUGUAUCAUCACAAUGUUCGAGUUGUGGUUUACGAAACACACAUUUUUGGAUUUAUUGGG
ensembl:lncRNA